UCUGGUUCCCAAACCAUUCUUUCUUCUUUUUUUUUUCAUUUUCUCCCUCCAUUUCUCUUCCUCUUUUCCCUUCUCUACGGUGGUGGUCCGCGCCGACGCCGUCCGGGCCGCAGCGCUACUCGAUCCCGGACGCGCCGACGCCUUCCGCGCCGACGCCUUCCAGGCUUUCCAGGCCGCGCGCUACACGAUCGCUCUCGGACGCGGUGCGCUCCCUCGGCCCUGUGAGGAUCAAUCCCGGGCAACGAUCUGAGGAUUUAGUUCUCCAACUGCGGCGGUUCCGGCACCUUCGAUCCCUGACGCCGUUCUCGGGAAGAUCUCGAAGGUGAUUGAUGGCAUUUACUACAAGUUUUUUUGAAGAUAGAACAGUUUGGUGCAAAUGUAACAAGAUAGCUUUAAUAAGAACUUCACGACAAGAUAGCUUUAUUGUAUUCAUUUUAGUAAUUAUAUGUAUUAAACUUCUAUUCAUCUAAAUGUAAUAUGAUCCACUGUGUUCAUUUGAGGUGUAUGUAGGAUAUUUGCCUCACUUCUAAUUUUUGAACCAACCUUGACAAUUUCAUGUGAUCACUCGAUGAUGUGGUGCAGCUUCGUCUCAAUGAAUCCGCUGAUUCAUCUGUGUUUGUAA